AACUAUUUAGUUUAUAAUAAAAUAAAUGUUUUGAAAACAUUAGAAAGAAUAAUUUUAUCUAUUAGUUG
rnacentral:tRNA from 1 species